AAUGAACGCUGGCGGCGUGCCUAACACAUGCAAGUCGGAUGUGCCGCAAGGUGCAUGGCAGACGGGUGAGUAACGCGUGGGGAAUCUACCUCUUUGUGGGGAAUAACGCUCCGAAAGGAGUGGUAAUACCGCAUGAGACCGUGGACUGGGAUGUCUACGGUGAAACCUGGGGACCGUAAGGCCUGGGGCAAGGAGAGGAUCCUGCGUCUGAUUAGCUAGUUGGCGGGGUAAUGGCCCACCAAGGCAUCGAUCAGUAGCCGGCCUGAGAGGGUGAUCGGCCACACUGGAACUGAGACACGGUCCAGACUCCUACGGGAGGCAGCAGUGGGGAAUUUUGCGCAAUGGGCGAAAGCCUGACGCAGCAACGCCGCGUGGGUGAUGAAGGUCUUCGGACUGUAAAACCCUGUCGUCAGGGACGAAGAUGUACGUGUUAAUAGCGCGUGCAUUUGACGGUACCUGGAGAGGAAGCCCCGGCUAACUCUGUGCCAGCA
rnacentral:rRNA from 1 species